rnacentral:tRNA from 1 species
GAAGAUCUGCGGCAAUAAUUUAUCUUGAAAUUAAAAAAGGGGUGUUCAACUCACUCGAUCUUCU